rnacentral:lncRNA from 1 species
GAGUUUGAUGGAGAGAAAUAAGGGAUUGGGGUGGUUAUCAAAUAUUCUGUUCAUAAUUUUUUUCUUUUUUUUUUUUACUUUCCCCAAAAUCCCUCCACUCUCUUGCCAUUUUUCUCUUCAUUGCUUCUGAAUUUCUACUCUCUUUCAGCCUUCAUCUUAUUGAUUUUUCUUUUCCCAUUCUGCCUCGUGUCGCUUCACCUUUGUCUGUGAUCGUUCGUUAAGUUUUAGAUAACUGAUUUCUCUAUUUUUUAACUUUCUUCUGUAGUGUUUUGUUUAUGCCAAU